UACGUAGGUGGCAAGCGUUGUCCGGAUUUACUGGGCGUAAAGAGCGCGCAGGCGGUCGUUCAAGUCGCGUGUGAAAGCCCCCGGCUCAACUGGGGAGGGUCACGCGAUACUGAUCGACUCGAAGGCAGGAGAGGGUAGUGGAAUUCCCGGUGUAGUGGUGAAAUGCGUAGAUAUCGGGAGGAACACCGGUGGCGAAGGCGAGUCCCUGGACAAUUCCUGACACUGAGGCACGAAAGCUAGGGGAGCAAACAGG
rnacentral:rRNA from 1 species